AAUUGCGAUGAUGUAAGCUUAUUCGGAUGCACGCGUGAAAUUUUCCUUGUUCGAGCUGAGCAACAGCUUGCUUGUUUUUUUUGUGAUUUCGAAAUUUGGAAUUUUUAACCGAAUUUCGCCCACACAACGCAAAACGAAUGAACAUGAAAUCGAACAUGUGUACGUGCGUACGUAAGAAUUUAUUACAUUCAUAUAGCAAUGUAAUAGUUAAUGAUGACAAGGAUUAUUAUAGAAAUAAAACAGCAGAAUAUUCAGACGAUAAAACCUGGUAAUUGUUUCUCAGAAAGUGCAAAGUCUAACACGAGUUAGUAAACUACUAGCAUAGGAAUAUAAGUACUUGUAAUGCAAUUACGAUGAUGUAACGUAUAUUAUCUUAUCGGGAAAUUUUAUUUGUCAUAAAAUAAACGUUUGUCGCAAAGCUUCGUUUCAUGAUUUCGUUUCAAAUUUAAACAAAGAAUUUAAUUAAUUAAAUAAAUAUUAAGUCAUAUUUUCUAUUAUGAUUAUUAUAUUAUUAUUCCAUUUUUUUAUCCAUUGUUAUUUAACAAAUAUACUUAGUAUUAAAUAUUUAUAAUUUUGAAAAUUAUAUGUUUUAAAACAUUGCAUUGAAAAAUGUAAGUGUAUUUUUCAGUGAAUAACAAGCGAUAAUUAUAACGUGUAUGUGCACUAAUCCUAAAUAAACGGAUAUGACGUCAUGGCA